GGAGAGUUAGCUUAAAUGGUAAAGUAUUUUCCUACUAGAUAAAGGUUCGAAUCCUUUACUCCCCA
rnacentral:tRNA from 1 species